GAUGAAGAACGUAGCGAAAUGCGAUAAGUAAUGUGAAUUGCAGAAUUCAGUGAAUCAUCGAAUCUUUGAACGCACAUUGCGCCCGCCAGUAUUCUGGCGGGCAUGCCUGUUCGAGCGUCAUUUCAACCCUCAAGCCCCAGGCUUGUGUUGGGGACCUGCGGCUGCCGCAGGCCCUGAAAACCAGUGGCGGGCUCGCUGUCACACCGGGCGUAGUAGAUUUUAUCUCGCUCUGGGCGUGCUGCGGGUUCCGGCCGUUAAAAAACCCUUUUAACCCAAGGUUGACCUCGGAUCAGGUAGGAAUACCCGCUGAACUUAAGCAUAUCAAUAAGCGGAGGA
rnacentral:misc_RNA from 1 species